GCCAUUAGAAGGUCCUUGUCUCGUAGGUAAUUCAGGUUUGGUAUGUCACAGGAAAGGAUGAAGAGAAAAAAGCUGAGCACAUUGUUCCAAGUUCUACACCACAGCGUUGUUUUUUCAUCUCUAGCCUGAGAGGAUGUGUGCUUGAUUUGGCCCCCGGCUUGGACUACCUCCUCGGCUUGUCAUCGGUGGUGUUCGGCCCCGACUACAUGCUCUCCGGUGAACUACUGGUUCACCUUCAGUUUUCCGGCUCCCAUGUGCUCUUGGAUUGGCGGUGAUGUUCAGCCUCGGCUACAUGAUCUCCGCUCGUCAUUGAGGACAUAUGUUGUGACCUCUAGUGUUGUGAUCUGAUUGGAAGAUCACUGCUGGCCUAUGGCUGGGAGUCCGACGAUCCUCCCUUCCAGGGCGCAAACUUGUCACAGUGGCCCCACGUCGACAUGUUGUCCAGGCGCCCACCUCAGAUGGUGGAUACCAUGGAUGACCAAGUCCAUAGAUGAGGCCCAAUGGCUAGCUUUGUACAAAGCUGAACUGCAGCUUUAACCAUUUGCCCAUGGAGUUCAUGAAUUAGGUUGAGAUCUUGUACAACAUUGUGGACGCAGUGAAGGCAGGGCGAGUGGUGGAGCUGAAGAACGCAAAGGUGGACAUGUAAAUGCGCCAGGUGGGUGGGCAUAGCCGUGUCAGAGCUGAAGGUGAUGGAGGCUACAUCCUGUCGCUGAUGGAGUUAGAGCCGGGGACCAUGUCAAGGUGAGAAGAGGAUCUGCGUAGGAAGAAGGCGACGCUCUUUCAUAUUGCCAAUGUGUGUUGGAUGUUGUUGCUGACACUGGAUGAAUUAUCACUAUUGUUGUGUAGACCCAGGUGGUGUUGCCUGUGAUCAAAACUAUUGCAUCGACUAUUGCUGUGGUGAGGUGAUUUUUUUACUGGAUACUUGGGUUAGCGACACUUUGUUCCCUUUUUGUACUGAUUGCUGAUGCAAAGUGAUGGGAGGAAUCAUUCUUGUCAA